rnacentral:lncRNA from 1 species
CCCAAAGAGAGGGAUUAUUUCCAUUAUUUCAGCGGAGCCUCUGGUUUGGACGUGACCUCUGGCUGAAGAAAACAGAUAUCCGGGGAUGCCUUGUUUUCGGACGGAGGCCUGGUAGUCUGAGGAAUGCAGAAAUGUUGUGCAGAUAGCAGAGCACGAAUGACUGCGGUGUAGAUGCUGAUGCUGCCCAGGCCAUGAGAGCCUCGGUGAAGAGCUUUGUUUUCCCUCACUUCAGCGCACGUGAUUGCUACACGUCUCCUCAAGGACAAAUGCAAGCAGAGGACGGCAGUCGUCUUCCUGUUAAAAAACAGCUGCUCCUGGAAACAUGCAAGAAAAAGGAUUUUAAGGGUAAAAUUUAAAAUUGGAAAGGGUUAUACAAGAGCUACUGAUAACGCCACACAGUAUCAUCCCACUCAAGGCAUCCCCGCAGUGUCUCCCUUUAUCGGUUUUGCAUGAACAGAUAAAUGUUUCUGAGCAAAUGCAGAAAUAAAUGACUGCUGUAGCCGGUUGCGAGUUCACAAAACUGUCUGACCGUACUUGUACAGAAGAGUUUCGAAAGGAACAUUUUCUUGGAUUGUUUCCUUGAAACUCUCUGAAUUGAAGGCUUUGUGCUGUUGAGCAAGUCUCGGUGAGAUCACGUUCAUUUCCUGGGCUGCAGAGCUCCGCUGAGGGCAGCACAGCAGACGAGAGCCGCUCAGCGCCGAGUGCCCGGUCACAAACUCCUGCGAGCGAUGACACAGGCGUCUCUAUUUGCAGCUGGUCGGGCACUGGCAGGCACCCUGAUUCCCGGUAAAUUAAAACCAAACAGAAGUGGAUUCCCUCUCGACGGCUUUAUCUCCACGGAGAGGAGAUGUCAACGCGGCCAUUUGCGCUUGGCUUUUAUCUACAGCAUCGUGCUGUGCUGGUUGGUCAAAGCAGGAGUCUGCGGAUGUGUGCAAACCAUCACUCGUGGUCAUUGAGGAGAGCCACUGAGCUGUGAGGCCGGGAGGAUGCUGCACGCAUGCACUGCCCAAAUUUUUCGAUGUUUGGGCUUUCCUGUCCGCUUGGGCUGUGAGGGUGUGUGCAUGGUCCGCGGUGCUCUGCGAAUCUCCGGAUAAAAAGCACCGGCAGUACUUGGUGUUAAAGGCUGUCGGUAUUAAACUGCACAAAACUGGCAUUUCGCAAGAGCCCACUGGUGCCUUUUUGUUACAUUUCCAUGCCAUUUCUCUUCAGUAAGUAUUAAAGUGGAAAUUGCUGUGCUGGAAACAAAGGAAAUCAUGAUUUAAAGCGGCAUUUUGGGGGGAAGCUUUCACAGGCACACCAAGACACCUUUAUUGCAGUUGCACCUUGCACGCUUCUUGAUGUGUGUUUGUCCAUCACCAAAUCCCACUUACCCGGGCUGCAGUGCCCAGGUGCUGCUGGCACCAUGGACAAAAACCCACAAGAAACCGUCAGCGGGCAUCACAGUGCCUCGUUAGUUCUUCACCAAUGGUAUAUUUAUUAAAAUUUUUGCUUGGACCAAUGACACCCCUUUUACCCCCACUCACCUUUCUCUCUAGAAACAAACAACAUUUUUCCCUUCCUUGUCGGAAAGUUCAGACCCAUUCCCAUAUCCUCUUUCCCC